UGCUCUAUUCUAUGGAACACACAGGCAUGUGUAUGUAUAUACACGCAUACGCUUCAUGGACUGUCUACGUGGGCGGUGUUUCGACGAGGAUGCCCGUGCCGGCGUGAUUGUGUUUACUACAUGUUUUUAAAGGGCGGUUGAAUGGGCGUGAAAGAAAUCCCCCUCCCCGCGUUCCCUGCUGCGGCCAGGCCUUCCGAGCUUGACAGGAAUGCACUGCCGGGGGGGGGGGAUAAAGAUUGGGGAUAGGGGUGGAGGAACCCCGGUUCUCUCAGUCUGAGGGGAAGGUUUGCAGACAGCGUUACCGUACCGCAGGAGCUGACCAUCUGAGUCCACAGACGAUCAUCAAAGAAAGGGUCCAGAGCGAAAAGCGCCUCGUAAAGUCUUCUGUGGUAAUCUUGAGACCUGGCCGUGCCUUAAAUCACGCUGUGAGGUCGGCUGCCUUUUUUAUACCGUUAUGAUUUUUCUUUGAAUUUUUGUCUCCAAAUUGCAAUGGGACAACUUGAGGUUUAUUUGAAGCAAGAAGCAGCUCAGCUUGCGUGGCCUGCAUUGAGUUCCUCUGGGUGAACCCACGGUCAGAAAUGUGGGAUCCCCUCUGCAGAUACCCCCCAACCUAACUGCAGACCACUGCAACGUUGUUGGCCCUGUAACACCCUGCUCCCUGUGCCAUUGUUUGCUAUCAUUGUGCCCAGUGGCGGUUUUCCCUCCCUUCUCUGGCUUUUUGUGACAAGUCUUUUCCUCUGCAUCUAGGAAAAUCAUAAACGCCCACAAAGACAAACAAAGUGCAGAGUUUUACAGCCAGAGCAGGUUGUUUCUCUACAGCCACCCUUUUCGACUUCAUCAUUAGCAAACUGCUGUCGUUGGCCUCCCAGGGCCUUGGGCUGGGCGACCCCAAAGUGCCACUGACACCAAACCUGUGAUAGCAUUUGGGAGUAAGGAAGGAUGGCUGGCCCUGCUUGGGGACAUGACCUGGGGUAAAUUGAGGAAGCUGUGGAGAAAGAGUUGAGAAAUCAAGCAUAGAAAAACCUAAACUAAUUUGGCUAGACUGUCAUAAGGUGUUGAAUUGCCAUGAACUGCUCAGUCUGGUAGCACAGCAGCAAGCGCUUCCAUGGGCAACUGACAAAAUUUAUAUCAUUUUGUACCACAAACUAUGAAGUUCUAGCAUGAACUGUUGGUGCUAAAUGUUGUACCACAAUAUGAUAUGAUAUCAUAUCAUAUAUGAUAUGAUAGAAAUUGUUCUGCCUCUGAGAGCUGGCAUGGUGUUCCUGGAGCUGCCAUGGAAAGGAGGUGAUGAGAGCAAGAGCAACAAUGACACGAUUCUGGGACUGCCUAUCAGCACAGCACACCUUCCCACUGAGACUUUUCUAUCACUGAGACGCUACAAGAGAAGCCCUAUGGAAAUGGAUUUGUGGACAAGAGCAGGAGAGGAAACUACAUUUGUAGUAAAUAAAAGCAUCAUUCGCAGAUGUCUUGGCAGAGAUCUUGGAAUUUGGAAAUACACAUCUCCUGGACAG